GUUGCUUCACGACUGGAAGAAUGGCCGAUGAUAAAGGUUUGGUCAUCCUGUAGAGAGAAGCAUAGAUUGAAUUUGGACCAGAAUUAAACAGCAUGGCGCUUUACUAAUCCGCGUCAAUGUUACCUGUCUCCUGGCACAUUU
rfam:Oryza meridionalis cultivar OR44 (W2112) chromosome 12, whole genome shotgun sequence.